AAGGAACCAGCCUCUGUAGAGACAACAAUCUUCUAUUUUGAACAAUGAUUUCAAUCUACAUGACAAUGCCUGUCCUGGUUAUAGCAACAUUGACAACAGGACUUAUGAGAUGCAAUUUAUCUCAAAAUGAUAAAAACCCUCAAUGUUAUGGAGCCCUUGGAGAACCCCUGUUUUUUUACUUUCCAAUUGUUUCAAGGAUUGAACUGAAAAAAGCUAAUUAUGUGAUUAAAAAGAUUGUAAACAACAAUGCAACUUUCAAUGCAACAUUUGAGUUUAACUCCACAACAAA